UACGGGGGGGGCAAGCGUUGUUCGGAAUUACUGGGCGUAAAGGGCUCGUAGGUGGCCAACUAAGUCAGACGUGAAAUCCCUCAGCUUAACUGGGGAACUGCGUCUGAUACUGGAUGGCUUGAGUUCGGGAGAGGGAUGCGGAAUUCCAGGUGUAGCGGUGAAAUGCGCAGAUAUCAGGAGGAACACCGGUGGCGAAGGCGGGUCUCUGGGCCGAUACUGACGCUGAGGAGCGAAAGCGUGGGGAGCGAACAGG
rnacentral:rRNA from 1 species